UUUCCUGUUUAUUUGCAGCUGUAGUUAGUCUCUUAGUGAUAGUCACAGUUAUACACAUGGGAUAAAACAAUAUUGGGCCAUUGCAAAUUGAGGGUGAAGUAUUUCAUCUCUUCUGCAUGAUCUAGACAUUG
ensembl:snoRNA